CUGGUUGAUCCUGCCAGUAGUCAUAUGCUUGUCUCAAAGAUUAAGCCAUGCAUGUCUAAGUACAAGCCUCACUAAGGUGAAACCGCGAAUGGCUCAUUAAAUCACACCUAAUCUACUGGAUAGUAAAAAGUUACUUGGAUAACUGCGGUAAUUCUGGAGCUAAUACAUGCACAAAGCCUCGACCUUCCGGAAGAGGUGCUUUUAUUAGAUCAAAACCAAACGGCUUCGGCUGUACUCUUGGUGACUCUGAAUAACUUUGGGCUGAUCGCAUAGCCUUGAGCUGGCGACAUAUCCUUCGAAGGUGUGCCCUAUCAACUUUCGACUGUGGCAUAGACGCCCACAGUGGUUUUGACGGGUAACGGGGAAUCAGGGUUCGAUUCCGGAGAGGGAGCCUUAAAAACGGCUACCACAUCUAAGGAAGGCAGCAGGCGCGUAAAUUACCCAAUCCUGACUCAGGGAGGUAGUGACAAGAAAUAACGGACCGGGGCCUCACGGCUUCGGGAUUGCAAUGAGCCGAAUUUACACCCCUUAGCGAAGAUCGAUUGGAGGGCAAGUCUGGU
rnacentral:rRNA from 1 species